GGCGGGUUAGCCAAGUGGUAAGGCAGGAGUCUGCAAAACUCUCAACGUCGGUUCGAUUCCGACACCCGCCU
rnacentral:tRNA from 1 species